ACUACGGGUGGCAGCAGUGGGGAAUAUUGGACAAUGGGCGAAAGCCUGAUCCAGCCAUGCCGCGUGUGUGAAGAAGGCCUUCGGGUUGUAAAGCACUUUCAGUGGGGAAGAAAGCCUUGGGGCUAAUACCCUCGAGGAAGGACAUCACCCACAGAAGAAGCACCGGCUAACUCCGUGCCAGCAGCCGCGGUAAUACGGAGGGUGCGAGCGUUAAUCGGAAUUACUGGGCGUAAAGCGCGCGUAGGCGGUCUGAUAAGCCGGUUGUGAAAGCCCCGGGCUCAACCUGGGAACGGCAUCCGGAACUGUCAGGCUAGAGUGCAGGAGAGGAAGGUAGAAUUCCAGGUGUAGCGGUGAAAUGCGUAGAGAUCGGGAGGAAUACCAGUGGCGAAGGCGGCCUUCUGGACUGACACUGACGCUGAGGUGCGAAAGCGUGGGUAGCAAACAGGAUUAGAUACCCCUGUAGUC
rnacentral:rRNA from 1 species